CGGCGGCGCUGAUCGGUCGCUCUGCAAAUUGCAGGGAGGAAAGUCCGGACUCCGUAGGGCGGGACGGGAAAGUGGCACAGAAACCAGGUCUGCUGGCUUUGCCAGUAAGAGUGAAAAGGCUAAACCCCAUCCGGAGCAAGGCCUAAUAGGGACCAUAGUUGCUGCUCGCAGCGUUUGAAGGUCUGGGUAGGCUGCUAAGAUAAAUGACCGUUAAAACAGAAUCCGGCUUACUGCGCCGUCACCUU
rnacentral:RNase_P_RNA from 1 species